CUGGGUGUAGCGCAGUUUGGUAGCGCGUCGGCUUUGGGAGCCGGUGGCCGGAGGUUCAAAUCCUCCCACCCAGACCA
rnacentral:tRNA from 1 species